ACGGCGAGUGAAGCGGCAACAGCUCAAAUUUGAAAUCUGGCCCCCCGGGCCCGAGUUGUAAUUUGUAGAGGAUGCUUUUGGCAAGGUGCCGCCCGAGUUCCCUGGAACGGGACGCCGCAGAGGGUGAGAGCCCCGUCUGGCUGGCCACCGAGCCUCUGUAAAGCUCCUUCGACGAGUCGAGUAGUUUGGGAAUGCUGCUCAAAAUGGGAGGUAUAUGUCUUCUAAAGCUAAAUAUUGGCCAGAGACCGAUAGCGCACAAGUAGAGUGAUCGAAAGAUGAAAAGCACUUUGAAAAGAGGGUUAAACAGUACGUGAAAUUGUUGAAAGGGAAGCGCUCAUGACCAGACUUGGGCUUGGCGGAUCAUCCGGCGUUCUCGCCGGUGCACUCCGCCUCGUCCAGGCCAGCAUCAGCUCGCGCCGGGGGACAAAGGCUUCGGGAAUGUGGCUCCUCCGGGAGUGUUAUAGCCCGUUGCGUAAUACCCUGGGGCGGGCUGAGGUUCGCGCAUCUGCAAGGAUGCUGCGACGAAGUAU
rnacentral:rRNA from 1 species